UACGAAGGGGGGCUAGCGUUGCUCGGAAUUACUGGGCGUAAAGGGAGCGUAGGCGGGUUAUCAAGUUGGAGGUGAAAGCCCCGGGCUCAACCUGGGAACGGCGCGCGAGACGGGGGGGCUGGAGUUCGGGAGAGGAGCGUGGAAUUCCCAGUGUAGAGGUGAAAUUCGUAGAUAUUGGGGAAGAACACCAGUGGCGAAGGCGGCUCAGCUGGCCCGAUACUGACGCUGAGGCACGAAAGCGUGGGGAGCAAACAGGG
rnacentral:rRNA from 1 species